UACGUAGGGCGCAAGCGUUGUCCGGAAUUAUUGGGCGUAAAGAGCUCGUAGGCGGUCUGUCGCGUCGGAUGUGAAAGCCCGGGGCUUAACCCCGGGUCUGCAUUCGAUACGGGCAGACUAGAGUGUGGUAGGGGAGAUCGGAAUUCCUGGUGUAGCGGUGAAAUGCGCAGAUAUCAGGAGGAACACCGGUGGCGAAGGCGGAUCUCUGGGCCUUACCUGACGCUCAGGCGCGAAAGCUAGGGGAGCGAACAGG
rnacentral:rRNA from 1 species